UGAUGUGAGGACGGUCGGGCUGUGACGCCUGUCACCCCACUGGUCACCAGUGUUGAUUUGGCUGAUGUGGCUGGCUCAGAGGCAGGUGUCCCCCUCCUUCCCCACUGUUCCCUGUGCAUCCCUCCGAAGCUGCGUGCUCCAUCGAAGAGGAUGGAGGACCGGGCUUCGAGUAGC
rnacentral:snRNA from 1 species